UACGAAGGGGGCUAGCGUUGCUCGGAAUUAUUGGGCGUAAAGGGCGCGUAGGCGGCUUGGUAAGUCAAAGGUGAAAUCCCUCGGCUCAACUGAGGAAUUGCCUUUGAAACUGCCUGGCUCGAGGCCGGGAGGGGGUAGCGGAAUUCCCAGUGUAGCGGUGAAAUGCGUAGAUAUUGGGAGGAACACCGGUGGCGAAGGCGGCUACCUGGACCGGUUCUGACGCUGAUGCGCGAAAGCGUGGGGAGCAAACAGG
rnacentral:rRNA from 1 species